UGGGGAAUAUUGGACAAUGGGCGAAAGCCUGAUCCAGCCAUGCCGCGUGUGUGAAGAAGGUCUUCGGAUUGUAAAGCACUUUAAGUUGGGAGGAAGGGCAGUAAGCGACUACCUUGCUGUUUUGACGUUACCGACAGAAUAAGCACCGGCUAACUCUGUGCCAGCAGCCGCGGUAAUACAGAGGGUGCAAGCGUUAAUCGGAAUUACUGGGCGUAAAGCGCGCGUAGGUGGUUCGUUAAGUUGAAUGUGAAAGCCCCGGGCUCAACCUGGGAACUGCAUCCAAAACUGGCGGGCUAGAGUAGGGCAGAGGGUGGUGGAAUUGCCUGUGUAGCGGUGAAAUGCGUAGAUAUAGGAAGGAACACCAGUGGCGAAGGCGACCACCUGGGGUCAUACUGACACUGAGGUGCGAAAGCGUGGGGAGCAAACAGG
rnacentral:rRNA from 1 species